AUGGAGAUGAAUCCCGAGCUGUCUUGUGCAUGGGUUGUCGAACUGCAGGAGCAAGAACAGUGCAGCAACCAAAUUCAGCUGCUUCCUCCAUCACUUGAAGAACUUUAUAUCUGGAAUCUCACAGAUAGGGUCCAGUCCCAUCUUCUGUCCUGCCUUUCUGCCAUGACCAGUCUAGCAAUACAGAGAAGUCCAGAAUUGACGUCUCUACAGCUGGGAUGCUGCACGGCAGUGAAAGAGUUGGAAAUUGGAGACUGCGACUUGCUUGCGUCGAUCGAGGGCCUCCAGUUCUGUGUAAACCUGACAUCCUUGAAAGUAUUUAACUCCCCUGGCCUAGUUUCCUGGUUGAAGCUUGUGUCGCAGCAGCAAGGGGCCUCUGAGAUCUGGUCUGGACUGGAAACUCUUGAGAUUGAUGACGCAUCUGUCAUUUCCAUGCCCUUCUGCAAACAGCUCACAUCUCUAACACACCUAGAGUUCAGUUCUCGGGGUGGUAAACAGGGAGAGAGCUUGGUGAGUUUAACAGAGGAACAAGAGAGAGCAUUACAGCUUCUAACCUCCCUGCAAGAACUUCGAUUGUGCAUGUGCCCGAAUCUCUCAUUACUUCCUGCAAACUUACAUAGCUUGACCUCCCUUGAGACAUUAUCUAUCAUGCAUUGUACGUGCAUCAGAAGUCUGCCAGACAUGGGCCUCCCACCUUCACUCAGAUACCUUCAGUUAUCCAAUUGCAGUGAGGAGUUAGGUAUGCACUGCAGAAUUGUAGCAACGGAGAAGCUAAGGGUCAUGAUUGAUUGUCAGUGUGUGAGUUAA
rnacentral:rRNA from 1 species